rfam:Fusarium graminearum chromosome 3, complete genome
ACAUACGACCAUACCUACCAGAAAAUACGGGAUCCCGUCCGCUCUCCCUUAGUCAAGCUGGUAAGGGGCGGAUUAGUAGUUGGGUCGGUGACGACCAGCGAAUCCCCGCUGUUGUAUGUU